rnacentral:rRNA from 1 species
AAGUCGUAACAAGGUUUCCGUAGGUGAACCUGCGGAAGGAUCAUUACUGAGUGAGGGUCUCUCAGGCCCGACCUCCCACCCUUGUGUUUAACUAUUCCACGUUGCUUCGGCGGGCCCGCUCCCCCCUGGGGAGCCGCUGGACUGUCUCCGGUCUAGCCCGUGCCCGCCGGUGGCCCAACUUUACAAUUCUUGAUACACCGUGUCGUCUGAGUCUCCAAACAAAUAUAAUCAAAACUUUCAACAACGGAUCUCUUGGUUCUGGCAUCGAUGAAGAACGCAGCGAAAUGCGAUAAGUAAUGCGAAUUGCAGAAUUUCAGUGAGUCAUCGAAUCUUUGAACGCACAUUGCGCCCUCUGGUAUUCCGGAGGGCAUGCCUGUUCGAGCGUCAUUAUCACCCCUCAAGCCUGGCUUGGUGUUGGACCUCUGGCUGCCCCCCCGGGGCUGGCCGGUCCCAAAGAUAAUGACGGUGUCCAGAGGGUCCCCGGAGCAACGAGCUUUCACGAGCACGCCCCGGCGUCUGGCCCCCCGGCACCGGUCUCCUUUUUACUUUCACAAGGUUGACCUCGGAUCAGGUAGGGAUACCCGCUGAACUUAA